GCCUGGUUGCCCGCCUGCUGCCCCUGGACUAUGGCCCCCUUUUAAAAGACAUCUUUUUUUACCUGCAGAAAAGCUUCAUUCGUGCUUUUCUGUCUGGGGUUCGGUAGAUUUGUUUGAAUGUGUUAUACCCCAGAUAGGAAUCCCAUGGAGCCCAUUCGUAUGAAACUGACUGUAAAGACUUUGGCUCCAUGGCGAUUAAACUGUAUUUGUG
rnacentral:lncRNA from 1 species